UGACUUUGGGAAAAUUCGGCCAAAUCCAAAGGGUGGAUUUUUGGGUUCUUGUUUGACUUGUUAAAAGUGUUUUAAAGUGACUUUUGGAACCCCUAUGUACCAUAGUUUGGUUAGAUGUUAUUUCCCUAAAGUUUGAAUGGUUUUGGAAUGUUUUUGGGUGAAAAAUGUUCAUGGACAAAUUUUGGGUUUUUCAUGAAUGUUCUUCAUUGUUCUUGACAUUUUUGCCAAGAACAAAAAGGUUUGAUGUUUUGAUUCAAAGUUUUGGUUAAUUUCAUAAAGUCUUUGUUUUGGUUGGUUGAUGUGAAUUUUCUAUCACCAAAACAUUUAUUUUGAAAGGUGAUAGAAAUUGUGAUGGGUGUGUAAGACUUACACACCUUACUCACCUUACGCAUGGUUUUAUGAUUCACAACAACCAAAUUCCACUUGCAAGGCUUUAUGAAAUUGUUGAAAAAAUUUCCAAAUUUUUGUGGACUUAUCUCCACUCCCUUUCACUUUCUAAAAACCGGCCCUCCCUCAAUGGGAGUACUUUUGGGUCUUUUAUGCAAUUACAUAAAGUUUUGAUACUUUUGUGUAUUUGCACUUUGGCCCAAAAGUUUACGUUUUUACGUUUAGGUCCAAAAACGCUAAAGGACAAAUUGUUUUGCUCCUUUAAUGAAGUUUUUGCAUUGAUUAAAUUUUGGGUUCUAGUGUAAUUACAUGAAGUAGUGGACUUUUGUGUCUUUACAAAGUGACCCCAAAAGUUUUGCAAUAUAGCCCAAAAGUUGAGGUUAAUUGCUUUAUGGCCCAAUAAGUUGUGGUUAUUGCAUAUUGGCCCAAAUUAGAUAGAGAACAAAAUUGUUUUGUCUCUUUAAAUGAGAAUUGGAUUUUCAUUUUGUUUAGCUCCAUUUAAAUCAAUUUUAUGGAUACAAAAACCAAAUGAAAAUGUUGCAUUCAAUUUAAUUAGUUAAAGUGUUAAUUAAUUAAAGGGUGAUUACGAACCUAAGCCUAAUAUAAUUGAGCUAUGUGAUAGGCCGUUUCAAAUUUGUUUGAACCAUGGGAAUGUGUAGAUUAGAUUUUGGUUGUAAUUUGAUUUGAUCAAAUGUUGUAAAAGGGCUUAAGCUCUUCUUUACUUUAAAGUAAUUUGUUAUAUGCAAAUGUUGUAAUGAGCAUAAGCUCACCUUUACUUUGAAGUACUUCUUUCUUGCUUUAUUUGAUAUGCAUGAAAAUGAAGUAGUUGGGUCCAAUGCCCCUAAGACAACACGCCUUAAUGUGAUUUAACGCGUAACUAAAAUCAAUCACCAUCCCUAGACCGAGAUUCAACACAAGGCUCGUGUUGAAUCUAAACAAAGGUUCAUAAUCAUCCUAAGGCCCUAAGGCAACUAUAUAGUCCAUCAAAUGAAUGCAAAAGUUAUGUUAGUAGUAUCAUAUACUCUUGCUUUAAAAACCGUUUUAUAAGCAUAGUGGGAGUAUUAUAUACA
rnacentral:lncRNA from 1 species